UACCGCAUAGCGCAGUGGAUUACCGCGUUUGAUUUCGGAUCAAAAGGUCGUGGGUUCGAUUCCUAAUGUGAUUG
rfam:Picea glauca, whole genome shotgun sequence.